rnacentral:rRNA from 1 species
UACGUAGGGGCCGAGCGUUGUCCGGAGUUAUUGGGCGUAAAGCGCGCGCAGGCGGCCUCGCGCGCCCGACGUGAAAGCCCCCGGCUUAACCGGGGAGGGUCGUUGGGGACGGCGGGGCUUGAGGGCGGGAGAGGGUGGUGGAAUUCCCGGUGUAGUGGUGAAAUGCGUAGAGAUCGGGAGGAACACCGGUGGCGAAGGCG